rnacentral:rRNA from 1 species
GAUGAACGCUGGCGGCGUGCUUAACACAUGCAAGUCGAACGGAAAGGCCCUAGCUUGCUUGGGUACUCGAGUGGCGAACGGGUGAGUAACACGUGGGCGACCUACCCUACACUUCGGUAUAAGCCUGCGAAACUGGGUCUAAUCCCGGAUAGGACCACAUUUUGGGUGGUGUGGUGGAAAGCUUUUCGGCGUGGGAUGAGGUCGCGGCCUAUCAGCUUGUUGGUGGUGUACUGGCCUACCAAGCCGUCGACGAGUAGCCGGCCUGAUGGGGUUGACGGCCACAUUAGGACUGUGAUAGAGGCCGGACUCGGACGGGAGGCAGAAGUGGGGAAUAUUGGACACAGGGCGCAAGCGUGAGGGAGCGACGCCGCGUGGGGGAUGAGGGCCUUUGUGGUGUAAACACCUCUCGCGAGGGACGAAGCGCUUUUGUGACGGUACCUGGAGAAGAAGCACCGGCUAACUACGUG